AUGCAAGCUGUCCAACUAUGCGUCCAGAAGCCCGGAGCCGGGACCUGGAAGGAGGGGAACCGGAGGCCACCUGUUCCCACUCACUUGUGCUCCGCGCUGGCGUGUUCACGGCCGAUUAACACCAGGCCGCAUGAGGUGGCGGCGCCAGAUGAAGUUCAGAACCGCGGCCCGAGGCGUCCGAUGCCCCGGCUCCCACCUCAUGCGCGGGGAGAAGCUGUGUCACGACGGCCGGCGCCGCCGUCUGGUCGGCGUCUCCGACCUGUUGCUCGGCUGCACCAACACGUGUCCCGUGUGUCCACACGCAGAUGUUUCCCUCAGACGGCGGCCUGUGAUCGAGUGCGCGGUGUGAAGGACGAGCGGCUCCCUCGCAUGCAGGGGCCUCAGGGGCCUCGUCUGGGCCCCUCGUUUUUUUCCCUCAGUAUACAGUGAUAAUGAGGGAGCCCUUAACCCUCCGUUAAAAGCUUCCCUCCAGGAUGCUGCAGGUCUGAUGUCAUGCUGUUGUGUCUGCUUUCAUACUUUAAACAUAGAAUGGAACCACACAGUUGCUUGUGCCUUCCUUAAUAUAGACAAUGUUUGUUCAGUCGUCAUUUAUUUGACUGAUUACAUGCGUGUUACUUUGAAUUGACGUAGACCUGAAUGUAUUUCCUUUGAAGGUUGAGGCUAUUAUGUGGUCUUUUACUCAGCCCAUUAUUAUUGGCUUUCUGCAUUUCCCUUAUGAUUACGUCCUAUAGAUCCUGCACAGCUUUUACCAUGUCGUAUAGAUCAUAGGACAAACUCCAGUGGUCCAUGGUCACAAGCCACAAAUGGCAAACCUUUAGAGCAACUGAGCUGGAAUUCAAAAUGGUCUCUUGGCACCGGCUUGGGGAAGAAAUCAGGAGUCUUACGAGUCCUGGGGGUGUCAUUUCGGCUGGCGGUGAACUCAGGCAACACUUACAAAUAUGUCCUGUCCAACUAGCUGGAGAGCAGCAGGCUCUCGUUACGGGCUCUGGAUUGGACGGCGUGAGGGAGGUGGACGCGUAAAAGUGCCCGGUCUCAGGAAUCAAAGGCAGGAGAUGGCAUCCCACGGACUCCAGAGCCCCGGUGAUGGGAUUCUCACCGACAGAAAGAGGCCGCAUUCGUCGGCCCCGCGUCCCCUCGGAGGAGAGGCCCCGUCCCCGGGUCGCUGUGCUUCCUCAGUAUCACCUAUCAGCUGGGUCAAGCAGUGGCUGAGAUAAAGCAGCUCCUGGAGUCGGAUGGUCUUUAAACACAGCAGGGGGAGAAUUCCGAACUCCUGGUCUCAUAUCUCAUUAAACUUGAAAAAGGUACAUUAAUCCUUGACAGUCGAAGAUAACAACAUAGAUGACAGGAGUCAGGGAAGCUGACAGAGGCACGGGUGCGUCUAUGGUUCAGGAGCGGGAGAAAAUGUGUUGAAAGUUUGUUUUUUUUUUUU
rnacentral:lncRNA from 1 species